AGCUCCAAUAGCGUAUAUUAAAGUUGUUGCAGUUAAAAAGCUCGUAGUUGGAUUUCUGGGAGGGUGCUAAUGCCCGCCGUAGCGCGCGCGCAGCAGCGCCCUUCCAUCCUUCUGUUAACGCCUCUUGGCAUUCAUUUGCUGGUGGCGGGCUCAGAUAUUUUACCUUGAGAAAAUUAGAGUGUUUCAGGCAGGCUAGGCCGGAAUAUAUUAGCAUGGAAUAAUGGAAUAGGACUAUGGUCUCUUUGUUGGUUUGAGGGACUGCAGUAAUGAUUAACAGGGACAGUCAGGGGGCACUCGUAUUCCGCCGAGAGAGGUGAAAUUCUCAGACCAGCGGAAGACGAACCACUGCGAAAGCAUUGCCAGGGAUGUUUUCACUGAUCAAAGAACGAAAGUUAGAACG
rnacentral:rRNA from 1 species